UGAGUUUGCAGCAGCAGCAGGUCGUCCUGAUGCUCUGAGUAUCGCUGCAGACGCGUCUGAAACUUUCAGACACUUUGUUAUGCAAAAUAAAAACGCGGCCUUCUCGCGUCGGGUGGGCUGCGUGGCCACACAGGUUCAUGCAUAUAGUUAUCAGGGUAAUAAGUUACGCAGAUGUUUGGUUUUGAGGCCGGCCAGUUCGGUUCUGACCCGGGCGGCACAGCGCUGCAGCCGCGGCACGCUGUAAUGUUUACGCGCGCCGCACCGCGCCGCUUGCCGCGCGCGGCAGCGGCAGGAAGUGUGCUGCUGAAGCGACAGCGGGGGACACGGCAGAAAAAGUCGGAGGGAGAGCAAGAGGCGAAAAUAAGCAUGUCUACGCCGUGAAAGGUGCACCAUCUGCGGGUCCAGGCCGUGCAUCGUUCCACCGGAGGGCGCACAGGCCACCCCACGGUGACGCCUCAUUGGCCGGCGUGCCCAUCGCCCCUUAAGGCCCGCCAGCCCCCAGGGCGGGCCCAGAUCGGCUGGAGCUCCUUCGGCGGGACAAAAUGGCCUCGAGUCUCAGCUAAAGAGCUAAGCAGCCUCGUCUUCUCCCCUCCCCCCCUCUCCCCCACCCCCCCACCCCUUCACUGUUCAUUACUACGCUGUGAACCGUGAUUCCCUCCAACUGCUGCGGUGUAGAGUACUAUGGCAAUGCAUGAUAUGAGUCGUGCCAAGGGAUUCCCCUGUAAAGAAUGUGAUAUGGUCUGUCCGAGUACUCCAAGCCUUCUAGAGCAUAUGAAAGCACAUUAUCAGCAGGAAGAGAGCGGUCGUUUCGAGUGUGAACAGUGUGGACGCAUUUACAAGCACGCCGCCAGCCUAGCCAAUCACAAGAAGUCUCACGAGGUCGGCUCCUUCCAGUGUCCGGUGUGUACGCGCACGCUGCCCAACGCGGUGGCCCUGAAGAACCACCUGCGGAUCCACACCCUGUCCCCCAGCAGCGCGCACGCCGAGGAGGAGAACGAGGAGGCCCCCGAGGAGGCGGGCCACGACGAGAGGAGCUUCGGCCUGGCCCAGGACCUCUCGGAUGGGUUUGGCCGCUCCCAUUUGAACAACAGUGGCAUGGGACAUAGCAUCCUGCCUGGCCACGAGACAGACGACCACGGGAAGAAAGGCUCCCCCGAAUCCGACGACGCCUGGGACCGGCCGUUCAAGUGCGACCAGUGCGACCGCACCUACCGGCACCACGGCAGCCUGGUGAACCACAAGAAGUGUCACCAGCAGGGAACCUUCAAGUGCUCCGUGUGCUUCAAACAGUUCAGCAACCUGGCUGCGCUAAACAGCCACGAGAGAACUCACUCAAAGUUCAAGACUCCCGGGGCGACCAUGGUGAGCAGCGGCGCCGGCGGCGGCGGCGGCGGCGGCGGCCUCCACGACUCGGAGCGCGGCGCCGGCUCGCAGUCGUCUCAGAGCGACGAGUCGGCCUCCUGCUUCUGCCACCUGUGCCAGGUGGCGCUGCCCAACAAGGCCGACUUCCAGGAGCACAUCCUGCUGCACAACACCGCCUCGCCCUCGCUGGGCCUGCCGCGCAGCUUCCCCGGCAUCAUGCCUCACAACCUGAGCGCCGUUCGCUCCCCGGCGUACACCCCGGCCCUGGGCGACCCCCUGCCCCUGCCCCCGCUCCCCGCCGAUAAACGGGGCCCCUAUGAUCCCAUCAUGGGCCCCCCGGUCAACAACCCCAUCUACACGUGUGCGUACUGCGGGGCGGGGCACCCGGACCUGGACACCCUGAAGGUCCACUACCUGACCCACGACCCGCACCCCCCCUCCCACAGCCAGGACGGCUCCAUACUCGCCUCGGACACGCUCAGCUCCGGAUCCCAGGGGUCCGUGGCGUCGCCCUCCGGCGGCCGCGUGCCUCAGGCCAGCUCCCCGGACGACGAAGAGCGCCGCUUCAAGUGCGGCGAGUGCGGCAAAAGCUACCGGCACGCGGGGAGCCUGGUGAACCACAAACGCUGCCAUCAGACGGGCCACUACCAGUGCACCAUCUGCUGCAAGCAGUACCCCCACCUGGCGGCGCUGCACAGCCACCUGCGGAGCCACAAGGGCCGCCCCUCCAACCAGCCGAUCAACAGCGACAACAGCGACUGGCUGUCCCCCGAGCCGCUCACGCUGGACUCGCAGCAGAGCUACGUCCAGGAGGGCGGCAGCACAAACACCCCCAUCUCGCUGCCGGGAAACCUCGCCGACUCGGCUCACUUCGUGCCCGACGGCGGCCACAGCAGCGGCCUGGACUCCCUGGAUUUCCACGACCGCUUCGACGGCAGCUCGCUCUCCCAGAACAGCUCCACCCACCGGCAGGCCGACAGACACGUGUGUGCCGACUGCGGCGAGAUGUACGGCGACGUGUCGGGGAUCAAGUCGCACAUGUGUCCUCGCCGCGGCCAGCAGCAGCCGCCGCCACAGCAGCAGCAGCAGCAGCAAGGCAACAUGUCCAACGGCUUCAUGGGGAACAUGAACUACCACGGCUCCGGCGGGACGUCCUUACCCUCCGGGAGCGCCGGCAGCAUUAAAGAGGGCGGCAGGCCUUACUCCCAGAGCGGCGGGAAGAGGAUGGGCAGCAACGAGAAGGAGGACGACGACGACGGAGAGGUGUACCAGUGCUCGGUGUGUGGCAACCACUACGCCAGCCUCAGAGCUCUGAGGAGCCACCUACGCAGCCACGCCAAUAACCCCAUAGGAGCAGGACCGUCCAGUCUGGACCAGGACUGGAGGAUGAUCUGCUCCACCUGCGGCCAGAGCUUCUCCAGGAAGCAGGACCUCCUCAACCACCAGCUGAUCCACGGCCCCCAGAGGCCGGACGGCCCCCACCAGGGCAUCACCGGCGGCUCGGCCAACGGCAGGGACAAGAUGGACGGACGCAACCACAUAUGCGUGGACUGCGGCAUGUUUUUUGCCGACCAGCACCACCUGGUCACUCACCUGUGCCCCGGUAAGAACCGAGCUAUGAACAAGCCCGGCCUGAACGGAGCCAAAGGGAUGUCCGGAGGCGACGGCGUCGCCGGGGGCAGCGGCGACGGCCGCAGGCCGAUGGUCGAUCAGAGCGACAAGCCCCACAAAUGUGACCAGUGCGGACGAGGAUACAGGCACCCCUGCUCGCUCCUCAACCACAAGAAGUCUCACAAGACGGGCGUCUUCCGCUGCCUGGUGUGCCAGAAACGCUACUACAACCUGCUGGCGCUGAAGAACCACCAAAGGACCCACUUUGACCUGAAAAGGCACAAGUGUGAGGAAUGUGGCAAAGCCUUCAAGAUCCAAAAGCAGCUCAUCAACCACCUGCGCCUCCACGAGGAGCACCGGGCCAAAGGUCUGGUCCGGACCGGCCCCAACGGGUCCCGCUUCCAGCAGCCCGGUCCGUCUCAAAUGCAGACGAUGAGAGCGGAGUCGUCAAAGGGUCCCGUGAUGGGGGUCAAGUACAGCCAUCAAGGCUUUAAGAAGCCCUACUCCUCCGCCGGCACCUCCAGGCCCCAGAAGUUCGACCCGGCUGAAAGCGGCCGCAGACCGUUCGCCUGCGAGGAAUGCGGGAAGACGUACCGCCACGCCGGCAGCCUGGCCAAUCACAAGAACCUCCAUAAAAUCGGGGAGUACCACUGCAACGUCUGCAACUCCACCUACCCCAACCGGCUGGCCAUGAAGAACCACCUGCGCCUCCACUUCGCCCAGAAGAAGCACAACUGCCAGGAGUGCGGCAAAGGCUUCCGCACGCAGCGGCAGCUCGCCACCCACACCACGGCCGGCCUGUGCAAGGGCCCGCAGGGGCCCGGCGCCCAGAUGGACUUUGAGUGCGACGGCUGCUGCGAAGGCUUCGCCACCGCCGACGAGCUGGCGGCUCACGACUGCCCGGCGCAGCACCUGCCGUCGUCUUCCUCCACCAGCAGCUCGGCCAACAUCAGCCUGGAGAGGAGCUCCGUGGACCUGGACUCGGACGAGCGGCCGUACGCCUGCGACCUGUGCAGCUGCACGUACAAACACGCCAGCUCUCUGCUCAACCACAAGCACACCCACAAGACGGGCAACUUCCGCUGCAACUUCUGCGACAAGCCCUACACCAACUACAUGGCCUUGCGCAACCACAUGCGCAUUCACACGCAGCGCAAGAAGCACAUCUGCCACACGUGUGGGAAGGCCUUCCGGCUGGCCAGGUUCCUGCGGAACCACCAGAAGGUGCACGAGGAGGGCGCCACCCCGUUUGGCUGUCCCAGCUGUGGCAAAAGCUUCCAGGGGAGGUCCGGUCUGGCCCGGCACCGCUGCGGGGACAACCAGGUAGGCAUGGAGGUCAGGAGGAAGGCCGCUGCCCCCCCGGGAGAGGGAGAAGAGUGUCGGUACACAUGUGAUCAGUGUAGCCGGUCCUACCGCCACGCCAGCUCCCUGCUCAACCACAAGAACACCCACACCGUCGGCAUCUACCACUGCGCCGUGUGCCUCAAGACCUACAACAACCUGCUCGCCCUCAAGAACCACCGCCGCAUCCACUCUGAGACGCGCCGCCACCGCUGCCACGACUGCGGGAAGGCGUUCCGCGUCUCCUCCCAGCUCUACAACCACCGCCGCGUCCACCAGAAGCAGCGGGAGCUGACCUGCCGGUCCUGCCAGCGGGCCUUUCCCACGCAGGCCAGCUUCAGGCUACACAUGGAGAUCACCCACGGCCAGGUGCCGCAGCCCCGCCAGCCCAGACCCCAGCAGCACCGGCCGGGGGGCUCCCAGGAGCUGGGCUGGGGGUCGGGCCUCGACCUCACCCUCAUGCAGGAGCAAGGACUCGCCCCCGGCAGCUUGGCUAAAGGCCGCGGCCGAGAGGGCAACGCCGAGGUGGACAAGCCGCACGUGUGCAACCAGUGCGGGCGCUCGUACCGCCACGCUAGCUCCCUGCUCAACCACAAGAACAGCCACAAGACCGGCACCUUCUUCUGCUCCUCCUGCCAGAAGGAGUUCCCCAACCUCAUGUCCCUCAAGAACCACCGCCGCAUCCACACCGAGCCCAAGCGCUACCAGUGCCCCGACUGCGGCAAGUCGUUCCGGGUGUCGACGCAGCUCAUCUGCCACCGCCGCAUCCACACCAAGGAGAAGCCGUUCUCCUGCCAGCAGUGCGACAAGCGCUUCUCCUCCAAGUCCAACCUGCGGCACCACAUGAAGGUGCACUGGAACAGCGGCGGGCCGCGCCCAGCCGCUGCCGCCGCGCCCAACUACCUGGGCAUGCCCGGCGGACCUUUCGUUUAGGCCGGGGGUUCUUGGGUCUGUGGAGGUGCCAAACCGUAGCUUAACCCUCCUCCUCCUCAUUGUGUGGUUAAAGUGUGUGAGGACAGAUAAUCGCACACAGACUGUCUGCAGACCACCUCCCCCGCUGCAUGUUGCCCCCCCCAUCCCCCAAAGCUGCAGCGCCCGAGCCUGACCUGGACUGUAGGGUCGCCGGGUCGCUGCCGGUUCCUCUGGUGGCCUUCGUCAGUGUCUAAAGCCUUCUCACUCUAAAACGUAGCACGGGUGGAGCUCAGCUGGCGUCCCGCCGUCAGGCAGCAAUGAACCAUGGGAACUUUUCAGACUCUAGACGGCCGUGUGCUGCGGCAGGAAGACGCUUCCUAUCGUUCGGUUCACACACACGGACUCAGAGCUGACGACGACACAAAGAAACUGUCUCUUGUUAAUUAGCUCGUUAAGACACGUCCUCACAUUUCAUUGGCUUUCGUCAGACCACAGCGUCGUGUUUGUAUUUAAUACUGUGAACUCCUGAUGUACCAUAACCAACACACUGAAACCUGAAGCAACUCACACUUCUCUCCCUUCACAAGGUAAAAAUGUUCAGAGCAAACGGUUGAUGGAGCAGCUGGGAACUCUGGAUCGGUCUCAACAUUUCUGGCUUCAGAUCUGUAAAGAAAAGGAAAAUAUUUUGAGUUAUUGUGGCCAAAUAAUGCCGGAGUUGAAGGAAACCUUUUAAAAGGCGGGUUCACUGUGCAGCUGAAUAUAAACCCAUAAAUUUAUUAAAGACGCUGAUCUGUUUGCUACGGUGGCCCAGAGGGCUCAGAGCAUCAAGUCUAGCUCAGCUUGACCUCACCUGGCGGACGGAAAGAAAACUGGGAUAUGAAUAUUCCCGUUAAAGGGCUAGUUUACUUUUUUUAAAUAAAUUGGGCGGCAGGGGAUCGUAAGGUUUACGGUUUCGUUUACAAAGGCCAGACAUAGAUAAUAAUAGAAAUAUGAAACAGAACCGGUUCAGCCAUGUUUUUCAGCUCUCUUCAUUUUUAAGAGACUUUGUUUUAAUUAACUUUAUUAUACAAUCUUUUAAGGGAAAUUGCAGUGAUGAUGAAUCUACAUUUCCCCUCAGUCCUGUUGAGCUUCAGCAUCAAUUAUCGACACGCAGAGCUUGAAUGCAGCACACGAACUGUGUUUGGAUGUGUUGAAGAGAACAAACUUAGACUAAAGAAUAAAAUUUCCUUCUGGUUUGCAGUUUUUACCAACUAGGAGAAUAUCUUAUAAUAGACUUUUAAAGCUAGACUUAUUUUUCUGUCUAAUAAUGAAUAAUAGUUUUCGUGAAGGCAAGAAGGUGAAGAAGUCCAGUCACAACUGGGGUUGUCCAAAUUAAUCUAUCGAAAUCAUUGAUUCUAAACAAAACAAUUAUUCAAAGAUAUUAAUUUUCAUCUAGAUUGAUAUAAACUGACCCAUUUGGCCAAACUGUGGCCCUUUUCGGGCUGCAGAGACCAAGCCGCUCAGCUCAGCAACGAUCUGCUGCUGGGAGUUUAAACAAAAAAACACGUGAGAGGCUCGUUAGCAGCAAUAAAAACAAGAGAAACAUUUCUGAUGAGCCAGACGCACAAUAAAAGCGAAACUAGCUACGCUAGCACUACAAGCUAUGGCUACAAGUCGGCACUACACGCUAAUGCUACAUGCUAUCGCAACAGGCUAGUGCUACAAGCUGACUUGUAGCACUAGCUACAAGCUACCUAGUGCUAGCUUGUAGUGCUACAAGCUACCUAGUGCUAGCUUGCAGUGCUACCUAGUGCUGGCUUGUAGUGCUACAAGCUACCUAGUGCUAGCUUGUAGUGCUACUAGGUAGCUUAGCUUGUAGCACUACAAGCUAUUUCUACAAGUCAUUGCUACAAGCUAGCGCUAGGUAGCUACCUAGCUUGUAGUGCUAGCUUGUAGUGCUACAAGCUACCUAGUGCUAGCUUGCAGUGCUACUAGGUAGCUUAGCUUGUAGCACUACAAGCUAAGCUACCUAGUGCUAGCUUAUAGUGCUACAAGCUACCUAGUGCUAGCUUGUAGUGCUACUAGGUAGCUUAGCUUGUAGCACUACAAGCUAUUUCUACAAGUCAUUGUUACAAGCUAGCGCUACGACCCUGAUGUUUGACAGCAACUUUAACGAUUCAAUUAAAUUCAAUUUUAUUUACAUAGUGCCAAUUCAUGAAACCUGUUAUCUCAAGGCACUUUACAAAGUCAAAUUCAUCCAUAGGGGGAAACGAUGGGGGAAGUUUCCCCAAAUCCCUUUUUGAAUAACUGUGCAAGGCCUUCUUACCUGCUCUUUGGCUCCUCAUGGGGAUCGUGUGAAACAAAAAUCUCCCAAGUCCACUCUGGUCUCAUUUCUUUCUACUGAGGCCUUCCUCUUCUUCUCAUAAACAUGAACACGGUUCAGUUCUUGUGACUCUGUCAUGUUCAAAGUCUACGGUGAGAGCAGCGGAGCUACAAUGAACGGCUAACACCGAAGCUAACCGCUAAGCUAACGGAUACAUAAACACUAGAAGUGAUCCGUAUGAACCCGUGGCGUCUCUGUGGGUCCAUCAGCCUUUUUCUGUAUCGGUCGAGCUCUACUUGAACAGUUCUGAUGUGAACCGGCUCAUUGAGCCAUUCAGGAUGACUCGGUGGAAAGGUCCAGUUUGUUCCACGUCUCCAACAUCCGGUUGUUUUUUUCCGUUAACAAGUAGUUCUUCUGUUACUCGACUCGGACCUCGUCAGCUGUUUAAAACGUCGCCAUGAUGUCAGCAGGGGUAGAGCAGGUGCGUGAUGCAUUUAGGAGUGCUGGGAAAAACGAAGCUCCACAGGACUAGAUGCUGAAAUGUAAAGAUUAUAGAAAUUUGUAUGUGGGAUGACACCUAGUAGUUUAAAUCUGAACAGCCUGCCGUCUCUAAACAGUCCUGCUGCUGCUGCUGCUGUGAAUUUUUACUUCCACAGGACAAGUUUUAUUCUGUUCUGUGUCCAUGUUUACAGGCUGCUGCUCUUAUACCAACAUAAAAUACCAAAAUGCAAAUGUUGGGAACCCUGGGAAAUCUCAUUUGAUUGGCUCAGGAACCAGGAAGUAAACGCGUGCUACACCCUGAAAAACUGUUGAUGGAGACGAUUGAAUGUUUAAUGGGAAUGUGGUUAAUUUCACAGUAAAUUUCUUACUUAUUGCUCCUUUAAACUUCCUACAUUUAGAUGGAAUCACCCCAGAGAGGCUUUUAAAGCAGAAUUUUCAGACUCCACAUGUGUUUCAGAGCGGGUUACUCAGCCCUUUGGACCAGAACCGUGAACACAGUGCUCGUCCGUCAGACCUUUCCCAGGAAGGUUGUUGUUUUGCUCUUCUGAACUCUCGGCCACCGUAGCUUACAGACCACAAAGUUAACCCAAGAGUUUCCUUUCUAAUCAAAAUCUAACGAAUCGGAUCAGAGACGGUUUUGGUUCCAAAGGUUCUUGUCCCAAACGUUGACAUCUGAUCCAGGUUUGGUUUCCAGUCUCAGGCUCAGGAGGUUUCAUCACAAACUCAUAAACUCUGAACUUUUCUGACCGGAUCUGAGGCCAGAAACGCACUCGUCACCUGACUGAUCACAUGAUCUAUCAGCCAAUCAGUGACUGAUGCAGUCCACAGCGCCACCUGCUGGCCACAGGCAGGGGUCUGAUGGGAACAGCUUCAGUAACCCUCUUAUUUCACUCAUCUGCUGAAAAAAACCAACAGAACUUCAUCAGAACUGAGCCGCGUUUUACUAGGAGAACCAGCAAGCGGUCGACUUUAGUUUCUUUGUUCAAUAACUGACUGGUUCCUGCAGGAGUCCAUGUGUGUGAACCAGAACCAGCUCAGAACUGAUCCCACUCUGAUCCUGGACCUGAACAGAACCCGGCCCUGAUCCGGCUCCCGGACUGCCCUGACCCAGCCGGGAGGACUGUGUGUGUCGUACUCGCUGUAUCUGCAGUUUUGUAAGAAGGAAGCAGAUCCCGUAGUAACUCAUUUAUUUAUAUGAAGCUGAUUAUUGAUGAUUAACUCUUGUAUCGGACCGCCUAGUGUUUAGGAUGUGAGUUUAGAGCCGUGUCGAUGUGAAGCACCCCUCUGCUCGGAGCUGACGGACCCAUCCGGACCCAUCCGGACCCAUCCGGACCCUCCGGAUCCAUCCGGACCCUCCGGACCCUGCCUUCUUCACCCCGUGACGUCGUGCCGACUCUCUGCUUCCGUACGGACUUCCUGACCGAGUCAGCGGGACGUCCCGGCUCUGUCCCACUUCCUGUAUUUAUUGGUGUUUCUUUCCCGUUUCCUUAUUUAACUGUUGGAAGCCUGUGUGUCUGUCAGCGUGUUGAGGAGCACCGGUGCUAGUCAAAAAAAAAAAAAAAAAAAAAAGAAUAAAAAUAAAGUGAAAGCCGUGCAGUGACCGUCAAGUGCUGUAGGAGUCCGUGUGAUCUAGAACACAGAAAUAUUCCCCGUCUAUCCGCCGUCUGUCCUCCUCCGACACUUCCUGCCUGCAUUUUCUGUAGAUUAGAGAAGAAGAAAGUCUGGAGCAGCUGUUAUCCUCCGUUUGAAGCUCUAACUUUGUUUUCAUGCGUAUAUAUGAUGUAAUGCUUACUAUACACUUUUAUAAACUAUGUUUUGAUAAUUCAUUUCUUAACAGAGAACUUGUCCAUAUACUAUAACCCUUACUGCUGAGUACUGAAAAUAAAUAGAUGAGAAAAAUAAAA